AGCAGCCGCGGUAAUUCCAGCUCCAAUAGCGUAUAUUAAAGUUGUUGCAGUUAAAAAGCUCGUAGUUGAAUUUCGGGGUUAGUAGGUUGGUCAUGCCACUGGUAUGUACUGGUCUCACUGAUUCCUCCUUCCUGAUGAACCGUAAUGCCAUUAAUUUGGUGUUGCGGGGAAACUGGACUGUUACUUUGAAAAAAUUAGAGUGUUUAAAGCAGGCUAACGCUUGAAUACAUUAGCAUGGAAUAAUGAAAUAGGACGUUCGAUCCUAUUUUGUUGGUUUCUAGGAUUGACGUAAUGAUUAAUAGGGAUAGUUGGGGGCAUUAGUAUUCAAUUGUCAGAGGUGAAAUUCUUGGAUUUAUUGAAGACUAACUACUGCGAAAGCAUUUGCCAAGGAUGUUUUCAUUAAUCAAGAACGAAAGUUAGGGGAUCGAAGACGAUCAGAUACCGUCGUAGUCUUAACCAUAAACUAUGCCGACUAGGGAUCGGAUGAUGUUAAUUUUUUAAUGACUCAUUCGGCGCCUUACG
rnacentral:rRNA from 1 species